GACGAACGCUGGCGGCGUGCUUAACACAUGCAAGUCGAACGGAAAGGCCCUGCUUUUGUGGGGUGCUCGAGUGGCGAACGGGUGAGUAACACGUGAGUAACCUGCCCUUGACUUUGGGAUAACUUCAGGAAACUGGGGCUAAUACCGGAUAGGAGCCCCCGCUGCAUGGUGGGGGUUGGAAAGUUUCGGCGGUUGGGGAUGGACUCGCGGCUUAUCAGCUUGUUGGUGGGGUAGUGGCUUACCAAGGCUUUGACGGGUAGCCGGCCUGAGAGGGUGACCGGCGACAUUGGGACUGAGAUACGGCGCAGACUCCUACGGGAGGCAGCAGUGGGGAAUAUUGCACAAUGGGCGGAAGCCUGAUGCAGCAACGCCGGGUGCGGGAUGACGGCCUUCGGGUUGUAAACCGCUUUCGCCUGUGACGAAGCGUGAGUGACGGUAAUGGGUAAAGAAGCACCGGCUAACUACGUG
rnacentral:rRNA from 1 species